rnacentral:rRNA from 1 species
UACGUAGGGUGCAGGCGUUAAUCGGAAUUACUGGGCGUAAAGCGUGCGCAGGCGGUUUGCUAAGACAGGUGUGAAAUCCCCGGGCUUAACCUGGGAACUGCGCUUGUAACUGGCAAGCUGGAGUGUGGCAGAGGGGGGUGGAAUUCCACGUGUAGCAGUGAAAUGCGUAGAAAUGUGGAGGAACACCGAUGGCGAAGGCAGCCCCCUGGGCUAACACUGACGCUCAUGCACGAAAGCGUGGGGAGCAAACAGG